CUCUGUGCUAAGGUAGCAUAAUCAUUAGUUCUUUAAUUGUGAUCUGGUAUGAAUGGCUUGACGAGACAUAAGCUGUCUUGGAAGUAUUAUUUAUUGAAUUUGGUUUUUGAGUUAAAAUUCUUAAAUGUUUUUAUGGGACGAGAAGACCCUAUAGAGUUUUACAGUUUUCCCAUUUAUUUGUUGUUUGUUUGUUUUUGUUGAGUGGGAAGGAUUGUUUUGUUGGGGUGAUGGGAGGAAUAAUAUUUAACUCCUCUUUGAUUUUGUAUAUUUAUUUAUAUGUAUUUGAUCCAUUUAUUUUGAUUAUAAGAUUAAAUUACCUUAGGGAUAACAGCGUUAUCUUCCUUGAGA
rnacentral:rRNA from 1 species